rnacentral:rRNA from 1 species
GAAUAUUGGACAAUGGGGGCAACCCUGAUCCAGCAAUGCCGCGUGAGUGAUGAAGGCCUUCGGGUUGUAAAGCUCUUUUGCCAGGGACGAUGAUGACGGUACCUGGAGAAUAAGCCCCGGCUAACUUCGUGCCAGCAGCCGCGGUAAUACGAAGGGGGCGAGCGUUGUUCGGAAUUACUGGGCGUAAAGGGCGCGUAGGCGGUUUAGCGAGUCAGGCGUGAAAUUCCCGGGCUUAACCUGGGGGCUGCGCUUGAUACUGCUAGGCUUGAAUUCGGGAGAGGAUGGCGGAAUUCCCAGUGUAGAGGUGAAAUUCGUAGAUAUUGGGAAGAACACCGGUGGCGAAGGCGGCCAUCUGGCCCGGGAUUGACGCUGAGGCGCGAAAGCGUGGGGAGCAAACAGG